GAUGAACGCUAGCUACAGGCUUAACACAUGCAAGUCGAGGGGCAGCAUGAUUGAAGCUUGCUUCAAUUGAUGGCGACCGGCGCACGGGUGAGUAACACGUAUCCAACCUUCCGUACACUCAGGGAUAGCCUUUCGAAAGAAAGAUUAAUACCUGAUGGUAUCUUAAGCACACAUGUAAUUAAGAUUAAAGAUUUAUCGGUGUACGAUGGGGAUGCGUUCCAUUAGGUAGUAGGCGGGGUAACGGCCCACCUAGCCUACGAUGGAUAGGGGUUCUGAGAGGAAGGUCCCCCACAUUGGAACUGAGACACGGUCCAAACUCCUACGGGAGCAGCAGUGAGGAAUAUUGGUCAAUGGGCGAGAGCCUGAACCAGCCAAGUAGCGUGAGGGAUGAAGGCUCUAUGGGGUCGUAAAACCUCUUUUAUAUGGGAAUAAAGUUUUCCAACGUGUGGAAUUUUGUAUGUACCAUAUGAAUAAGGAUCGGCUAACUCCGUGCCAGCAGCCGACGG
rnacentral:rRNA from 1 species